rnacentral:sRNA from 1 species
UGGGAAUCUUGGCUGAGUGUGUUCUGGGAAAUGUCAGGCCUACAGGAAGCAGAGGGCUCCCAGUCGCACCAUUCCGCAGGGACCAUGUGGAGGUUCUUGGGCCCAAAAGUUUUACCAGGAUGGGCCUGGGAGAGGCCUGGGUGAGGAGGACAUUCGCAGGGCACGGGAGGCCCGUCCCAGGAAGACACCCCGGCCCCAGCUGAGUGACCGCUCUCGAGAACGCAAGGUGCCUGCCUCCCGCAUCAGCCGCUUGGCCAACUUUGGGGGACUGGCUGUGGGCUUGGGGCUAGGAGUACUGGCCGAGAUGGCUAAGAAGUCCAUGCCAGGAGGUCGUCUGCAGUCAGGGGGUGGUUCUGGGCUGGACUCCAGCCCCUUCCUGUCGGAGGCCAAUGCCGAGCGGAUUGUGCAGACCUUAUGUACAGUUCGAGGGGCCGCCCUCAAGGUUGGCCAGAUGCUCAGCAUCCAGGGUACAGCAUGACCCUCGACUCCUGACCCCUGACCUCCCUUCCACCCCAGCCCUACCCACCAACAGGCCCCAACUUCAGAUACUCACACGGGGUCCCUCCUCACCUCUUUGCUUACUUCCCCCCUCGUUCCACUGUCUCCCAAGACAACAGCUUCAUCAGCCCUCAGCUGCAGCGCAUCUUUGAGCGGGUCCGCCAGAGCGCCGACUUCAUGCCCCGCUGGCAGAUGCUGAGAGUUCUUGAAGAGGAGCUCGGCAGGGACUGGCAGGCCAAGGUGGCCUCCUUGGAGGAGGUGCCCUUUGCCGCUGCCUCAAUUGGGCAGGUGCACCAGGGCCUGCUGAGGGACGGGACGGAGGUGGCCGUGAAGAUCCAGUACCCCGGCAUAGCCCAGAGCAUUCAGAGCGAUGUCCAGAACCUGCUGGCGGUACUCAAGAUGAGCGCGGCCCUGCCCGCGGGCCUGUUUGCCGAGCAGAGCCUGCAGGCCUUGCAGCAGGAGCUGGCUUGGGAGUGUGACUACCGUCGUGAGGCGGCUUGUGCCCAGAAUUUCAGG